UAUUGCUCGCCAGAUCAGUAUCAACAAGCCGUUUUGUUUAUUUGUUUCGGGGUAACAAAAUCAUAAGCGAGCCUCUUUGGGCUUCCGUAACUGAUGAGACGACGUAAUAACCGAUCAAGAGAAGCCCGAGAGAAGCCCAUCAGUCGAUCUCUUCUUAUCCCUGGUUGCAGGCAAUGCCACCAUUCACUACCCAUGCACCAUCGAUGCCCACAGCCGACCGCUUCGGCGUUCUUCCACGCGGGCGAGCACAGGCACCCCAUGCCGCCGCAUCCGCCUCUCCUUCUCCUGGCGUGGAGGACCUCAACUGGGCCACCUCCAUCGCGACAUCGAUCUGGCUGGCCGCCGCCUCACCUGCGUCUCGAUCUAAUCUAGGGAGAGAUGGUGAUGGGUGGGGGCAGCGGAGGUAGGGGAGAGGGGGAGGGAGAUCCGGUGCAGAACUACCAUGCUGCAGACUUGAGGCGCCCAACCCCGGCCACCACGACGAGUCGACGACUCUGCCUCCUGAAGCACGACCUCCGCCACCUCCCUGCUGCACGGAAGCGACGAUGCCGCCGCCUCUCAACAAUCGACUUCCCGUGCUCCCGCAAAAAAACCCCUUCAGAUAGUGGAGUGGCAUCGGUCCCAUAGUUUUCAACAUCAGCGUUACUAAUCCAGCAGAGCUCCUGAUUCCAUGGCGUGCCUUAGUCUUUUGGCGGGCAUAUUAAAAGUUCAGGGAUCUUUUAUUCCAUUUCAAUUUGCUUUGGAGAUUUUCUAUCGGCUCAAGUACUCAUGUCAAGGAAUAUAGCUAUAUUUUCCUUGGAAUUUUCUUUUGCCCUGCAAUGCUAAUGGAGAAUAGGUAACCAAAUUAUUGGAGGGAUAGAGAUUGUUAAAGAAUAGAUAAACAAACUAUUUGCCAUGGAAAUUGCUAUUCAGAGACUUGGUGCAUUUGGGAAGUAUGUAAUGACCAAGUCUUUGAUAAUGUACUUCCAAAUUUUGGUUGGUGCAAAAUUCCCGUUAUUAGCACCUACACAUAGAAUUGUACUGGACAGUGAAAAGUAAAUUUCUCUUUCCCCUUGAACUCAUAACAUUAUUCCAUGUGA